UGGCUAUCCUGACCUGGGGCUGGGAGAGUCAUGCGACAGGGAGCCGCCUCGCCCAGUGCAGCCCAGGGCCGAUGGAGACGGCCUGGAGUCCCAGCCAUUUCUGCCCACUGGGCAACUGUGCCGGCCACGGUGGCUGCAGGGAUCUGCCGGUGGAAGCUCUCGGUGUGAGUCUCAGCUGCCCUCCUCCCCUGCCCCAGCUCCCUCCCCGCCCUCCCACAGGUGCGGACUCCCAGGACACUUCCUAAGGGACACAGCGCAGGCCAUCGGGGACCCCGCAACACUCCCGUCUGCACCUGUAAAACAGGGGUGAUGAUUCCAGGGUCGCCGCACACAAAGAGAGCAGUGACCUGGGAAGGCACCUUGAACCUUACACCAAAAGGGUUUUACAGCGGACGAUGAGGCAAGGGCAGGAACCAAUUUCUCAGCCGGAGCCCCUCUGUCCCUCCCCUCCAGCCUUGCGGGCUCCCUGCUGGAGCUUCCGGCUCCAGGGCCCCCACAUGCUCACGAGGCCCUUCUCUCUGUGGGUACCUGGCAGAGUCCCUUUCCUAAACCCCAGCCCCAGGGGUGGGAGUAGAUUGAGGCCUAGUCUCUUGCUCAGAUUCCAGCUCAGUCUCGAGAGGCGGGGAGAGCCAGGGGCCCCUUGACAGGCACCUCAGACCUUAGCGGAGGACCCAGGCCACCCACACUCCCUAUUCACACUCCCUCUCAAGAAAAAGUUUUCUUUGGCCUUUUCCUGGUCAGCAAGUAACGCAGCCUCCUUAGAGAAAACUCAGCCACAGGAAGGAAGCAGUGAAAGUGCAGAUUCACCUGUGGUCCUGUCUGUCAGCCAGAGACGCUCCUGUCAGACUGUGCUGCGUGUCUCUGUCGUGUUUCCCCAGCGUGUGUGCAUGGUGUGUGGGGAGAAACAGCCGACCGCAGUGGAAUAAAAUUCUAGGUUCUGUUCUUUUCUCCGGACGUUUUCCAGGUCAUUUAAGCUCCUUGUCAGUGUCAGUGCUAACGGCUGCAUGUUGGUCUGUCAUCUGGAUGUUCCAUGAUGACUUGGCCAUGCCCAGGGGCUGGCCCUGGGCAACAAGCCAGGGGCUUCACGUCCCAGACCCUCUGUGCACUAGUGGUGUGGCCUCUGGGGGCCUCACUCUUUCCUACAAAAGGUGCGUCAAAAUUAGCUGUGAAAUGAUGCACGAGCCAGCACAGCGCCUGGCGCUGUAAGAACUCAGUCCACGUUAGGUGUCAGGUGCACAGACCGGCCCACAGACCGAGCAAGCUCCAACGCCUGCAGGGCAGUGUGGGCACGGCACCCGGCAUCACACAGAGGCGGCGGCAGGCACCACAGGGAGAGCACUUUCCACGCCAACAAUUCAAAUUCAGAUGCUUUUAAAACCCUUGUGUCCUCAAAACAAAGCAAAACUGUGGGCCAGCUUAGCUGGAGGCUGCCAGCUUUCGACAUUCGUCUACGUAGCACGUGGGUCUAUGACGACUGCUCCUACUAUUCCUCGGGCAGAAGGCUCCACUGAUGCCUCUCCUUCCCAAACUUGAUGUUCUCCACAGCCUGGGCCACGGCGUCUUUGAGCUGCUGUUCAGAGACCUAGAAAAUGUCAGUCACCUCCUCACACACACAGCGGACACUGGUGCGCCAGGCUCCCGGGCUGUCCAGCCCCCAAGCCAGGCCCUGGGAUUCCAGCUUCUAUCCUUCCAAACUGCGCUAAAAACAGCCGGAAAAUUCUACUUCCAGAAACACCCUGGACACCAAUGGCUCUUCGAGGUAAGGUCCAAAGCCUAUCAGUAAAGGAAUUCCCAAGGUGGCUUCUCUCAACUCCCCAACCUUCUCCCCACCACUGGCUGCAAAACUCCAGGCGAGGUCACCACCUGGUAGUUUGCCUCUGUGAGCUGUUCCACUCUUGGCAGUGCCGUCACCACGGCGUCACCAUCAGUAGCAAUGCCACAACCAUCACGAUGACCGUCACGCUGCCUGUGUCGUGCCUCACGGGCCGUUGCCACUUUAGAGGAGAGUGAGUCAAACAGACGUGUGUUCUGCCCAGUUGUGAACACCUGGACAAGCCACUCAGCCUUCUAAGCCUCAAUUCUUCUUUCGUAAAAUAGUAACGACAAAGCCCACUUCACAGUGAGGGCACGGGGCUUAAAACAAAUACAUCAUUUAACACCGAAAGCACAGGAAACAAAAGAAACAGUAGAUACAUUGAACUAUGUCAAAAUUUAAAAAUUCUGAGCC